rnacentral:lncRNA from 1 species
CUCCCCGCCCAAGGCCGCCGUGAGGAGGAUGCUCACCGCGGCUCUGGUCCCUUCUCCCCUGCGGCCUGCAGCCGACCCCCGGCAGGACCCCGACCCGGGCAGCCCGCCCUCCUCACCGCCAGCGACUGCGCUCCAGCUGCCGACCAUCCCGGCCCGGCUCUGUUUACAAGCGGCUUCUCGCGGUCCCACGCCCAAAAGCUUCCCCGCGGCAGCCCGGCAACAGGAUCCGAUUACACAGAGUUCCAGCCGACGCGUUCUCACGACCGGCCAGGAAGAACACCACAGACCAGAAUCUUCUGCGGCAAGGCUUUAUUGCUUACAUCUUCAGGAGCCAGAGUGCAAGAAGCAAGAGCGAGCGAGAAGCAAGAGAGAGAGAAAACGAAACCCCGUCCCUAUUAAAGAGAAUUCUCCUUCGCCUAGGACGUGUCACUCCCUGAUUGGCUGCAGCCCAUCGGCCGAGUUGACGUCACGGGGAAGGCAGAGCACAUGGAGUGAAGAACCACCCUCGGCACAUGCGCAGAUUAUUUGUUUACCACUUAGAACACAGCUGUCAGCGCCAUCUUGUAACGGCGAAUGUGGGCGCGGCUCCCAACAUCUCCCCCUUUUCUUUUAAUAAGAGCAAAUAGGCCACCCAUAUUAAUGAGAGUGGAGAUAGAGGUCAAAUCCCCAGUGUGUAGGUAAAGGAGCCAUGUACAGGAUUAGCUCUUAGGCUCACAGGCUUUUACCCAGAGCAACCCUGACCUGCUCCCGUGUCGUUUUGCCUGGGGGAAGGGAACUAGGACACUGAACCUUCAUGAAAGAUGACAUGUCUCCCUAGAAUAGGCUCAUAUAUGCCGCAGAGCCUCUCCAUUGCAGUGCUUAGCCGUGCAACUCUCUCGGGCUGCUGAAGCACACUCACUCUAUCCCGUGCAAUGAGUCUAGCCUCGUGAGAUAUAAGAGCUGAGUGGCCAGCGACCUAUUGCCUAAGCAUAGAUAACCAUAUAUCAGGGGGAGCACUAUGUUCUAGAGCUGCAAGCGCCUGGGCAAUAACCACCUUGUCUCUCCUAGUUUGGGCCUUAAGCUUACAGACCAAUCAAAGAAGCAACACUAAUCCACAGCAAAGUGUAUCUCCAAAUAAUAUUAAUCCCACCCAUUUUUUAAAGAAAGAAAAUGCUGAGGAGAUCCAAUUGGGUAAUCCUUUGGUCAGCGACAGGUCCAAGCGCGUGGAGUUGACCUGAAGUCUCAAUUCCCGAAGGAUCUGUUCAAAUUCAGCCAUCCAAUUCUGUAACAUAUACUGAAAAAGACUUUUUGACAAUUUAGCUGCCCUAGUAAAUUUAACAUACUGAAUGGAAAUAACACACAAUCCCGGAAACUUUUGUUCACAUCCCUGCUGAGUUAUUUGUCAUAAUACAUCUAGUUGUAUCUGGACAAGAUCUAUGAGUUGAUUAACCAGCAUGAGACCUCUCUGUAUCUUGACAUUAGCUGAGGCCUGUUUAUCUAUGACUGUAGUCACUGAGGCUGACAAAGUGUUAAUGGUGUCAGUCGUCUGGACCUGUCCAGACAGAGCCAAGGCUGUCUGAAUCAAGGCCAAACCCAGUUCCCAGUUAGUGGUAAAAAGGCAGGAGAAUACUUGAGCAUUAUACAUCACCGUCAUUGGGAGUGGAAAUGUCGACAUUAUCCCCCAACGCUGCUCUCUCUUUAUUAUUGACGCCCUGGACAUCACCAAGACGAGGGACAUUAGUAUUCCCUUGGUCAGUCUGGAUUUUUCGGUCUGCUUUACGGGAACCUUUAUUACCGCGACCCGCAGUUCUGGUUCUGGAAUGAGGGAUCUUCCUUGCGCCAGUCCCGAGUUUUUUCUCGUCCCGGAAUUCGGCACCAAUUGUUAUUAGACGCGUUCUCACGACCGGCCAGGAAGAACACCACAGACCAGAAUCUUCUGCGGCAAGGCUUUAUUGCUUACAUCUUCAGGAGCCAGAGUGCAAGAAGCAAGAGCGAGCGAGAAGCAAGAGAGAGAGAAAACGAAACCCCGUCCCUAUUAAAGAGAAUUCUCCUUCGCCUAGGACGUGUCACUCCCUGAUUGGCUGCAGCCCAUCGGCCGAGUUGACGUCACGGGGAAGGCAGAGCACAUGGAGUGAAGAACCACCCUCGGCACAUGCGCAGAUUAUUUGUUUACCACUUAGAACACAGCUGUCAGCGCCAUCUUGUAACGGCGAAUGUGGGCGCGGCUCCCAACAAUAAUCCAGAUACACUUUUUUAAAAACACCCCUGGUUACUAGCCAUUUUCUAUGUAUUUAUUCCAGGUUUACUGGGGUGUAAUUGACAAACAGUGUCACUAUAUCCCUUCUGUGUCUCCCAAAGGGCAGAUGCUCUGUAAUAUUUAUGUUUAAAUGUUACAUGCCAUUUACCAAGGUACCUAGUAAACCAACUCAAUAAAAGGUUGAUAAAGA